CCUGGGGAGAGGGACGGCAGGAGAGUGAGCAGUGGCGGGGCCAGAGUCUGGGGACAACGCAGAAGCUCCUAGGCAGAAGGACCUGCUAUUUAAGGAAGGGGCAGACAUAAAAGGAGGACACAAAGAUCAAACAACCGUCACUCACAUGCCCACCGCUGAGAAACAACCCCAUUACUUAGUCUUUACGACAAAACACUGUUAACAAUUAUUGCUGUCAUUUUGCAGCCGAAGCAGUGGUGCACAGAGAGGUCAGGAGACCUGCCCAGUCACAGGACGAUUAAGUGGCAGAGCCGGUAAUCGGAUUUGGGUUGGGUUGGUGUUACAGCCCACAUCCUCUUCUACCUAGCUGCCUGUGUUCAAUGUUCCCACUGCUUGCUCACCAAUGCCAACCUCCCGUAGGCCCACCCCUCCACUGGGGCCCAGAAACGGAAGCAACCAAGUCAGCGCCUCAGCAAGCAGGGAAGAAAACCGCAGACCACUUCCUUCCGGAUGCCCAAAGCAGACUUUCCCCUCCGGUCCCACAGGCUCCAGCCAACAGGAUGGUCCUCAAACCACCUGCAGCCGCGUCUCCUGCUAGGGCACCCUGCGGCAGGGCAAAAUCCUCACAGUCCCCCUGGAGAACCGAAGACAUCUUGAUGGAGACACAAUUCACCAAUCAUCAAAGGAACCCAUUUAGAGCGCACGACUGAAUAGUUUCAGUGUAUUCACGGAGUUGUGCAACCAGCACCACGAAGUUCAGAACAUUUUCAUUCCUCCAGAAAGAAACCCCGUGCUCGGGAGCGGUCAGUUCCCAUUUCCCCUCAACCGCUCCAGUUCUAGGCCACCACUAAUGUACUUUCUGUUUCUAGAGAUCUGUCCAUUCUGUUUACAUAAACAGAAUCUUCAUUUAUGGUUUGUCUUUUUAUUCAUUUGUAUGUAUAUUUAUUUAUUUCGGGGUGUGUGUAGGGGAGACAGCAUGAGCAGGGGAGGGGGAUAGACAGGCAGAGAAAGAGAGAGACAGAAUCCUAAGCAGGCUCUACACUCAGUGUGGAGCCUGACGUGGGGCUCAAUCUCACGAACCUGGGAUCACGACCGGAGCCAAAAUCAAGAGUUGAACGCUAAACUGAGCCACCAAAGUGCCCCAAUAUAAAAGGAAUCUUAUAAAUGUGGUCUUUGUGUCUGCCUUCUCUCUGAACAUCAGGUUUUCUAGGUCCAUCCAUGUUGUAGCAGGCAUCAGUAUUUAUUACUAACUAGUAUUCCAAGGUAUGGAUGUAGCAUAUUUGGUCUGUCUGCUCAUCAGCUGAUGGGCAUCUGGGUUGUUUCUGCUUUGGGGCAGUUAUGAAUAAUGCUGCCACGAACAUUCACGUAACCAUUUCUGUGUGGAUGUAUGUUUUCCGUUCCCUUGGGUACACGUCUAUGAGUGCAACUGAUGGGCCAUUCGGUAACUAUGCCUAACUUUCUGAGGAAUUUCCAAACUCUUUCCCUAAGUGACUACACCAUUUUACAUUCCCACCACAUAUGGGGAUUCCAAUUUCUCCACAUCCUUUCCGACGUUUUUAUUAUCUGUUUGAUUAUAGCCAUCCUCACGUGUGUGAAGUACCGUCUUG